CCUUAAUUGCACAGUUGUCUUCUCUCAUACUUUUGUAUUUCAUCUGUAAAGCCCACAUUUUAUUGGGCUUGGGGCACUAGUCUGACCCAUGAGAAGGGGGAGGAGGGAGACUCCUGAUUGGGUCUUCUCCCUCCCCUGUUUCAAACCCAUCUUCAUCCUCCCGAAUCCACCGGAAAAAAAAAAUCCAGAGGAAAAGGAGGCUCAAAUCUUACCUAAAUUGAGCCUUAUUCUUGCCUAUAAAGACUCCCUUUUCCCUCCUUUCUAGGGCAUCAACCAAGAGCCCUUCCAUAGGAGGAUUGAUCGCCAAGCAAUCUGUUAGAGGAGAUCGGAGUAUUCGCCACCGAUCUAGCCGGAGGAACUCGCCGGGGAACUCGCCGGAGGCAAGGGAAACAAUCUAUUGGACGAGAGGGCGUUGAGCAGAGUCCUGCGCAUUCCGGUUCAUAGAUCGCCGUGAGGGUGGGUGAUUAGUUUGUCUGAGCUUUUCAACAAAGGAGUUGUAGGAUGCAUAAACAUGGAUGGGUUGGGCGCGGAGCGCGAGUAUCAAAGUCAUUAGCUAGUUAGUUAGUGUAUCUUUCUUUAAUGUUGAUGAACAUUUGAAGAUCUUGUAAUUGAACCAAAUUGAUUAUCUGGACAUGUUGGAUUUAUUUAUUUGAUUUAAGUAAUUAAUUAGUUAUGGAUUUA